rnacentral:rRNA from 1 species
GUAGUCUCGCACAGAUGCAUAUCAAUAAGCGGAGGAAAAGAAACUAACAAGGAUUCCCCUAGUAACGGCGAGUGAAGCGGGAAGAGCUCAAAUUUGAAAUCUUAAAGGGUUUCCCUUUACGAAUUGUAGUUUAAAGAAGUGUUUUCUGUUGAGGUUUUGGUAAAAGUUCUUUGGAAUAGGACAUCAUAGAGGGUGAGAAUCCCGUAUUUGACCUUUACUUUCAACUUUGUGAUACACUUUCAAAGAGUCGGAUUGUUUGGGAAUGCAGUCCAAAAUGGGUGGUAAAUUUCAUCUAAAGCUAAAUAUUGGCGAGAGACCGAUAGCGAACAAGUACCGUGAGGGAAAGAUGAAAAGAACUUUGAAAAGAGAGUUAAACAGUACGUGAAAUUGUCAAAAGGGAAGCGUUUGACACCAGUGUUGUUUUUCUGAAAAUCAAUUAAAGAACUGUUUAUGCUAAGCUUGUUUAGACUUUAUCAGCUAUCUGUUUAGUUUUGAGCUUUUCUUUAAUGCACUUUUCAGUUAACAAGUCAACAUCAAUUUCUUUUGCUGUAAAAAAGCUUGAGGAAGGUGGCUUGAGAUUCGUCUUAAGUGUUUAUAGCCUCUUGCCUAUGCAGUCGGAGAGAUUGAGGUCUGCAGCGUAGAUCCUUCGGGGCUAGAUGCAUUUGUGCUAAGUUAUAGCAUUUUAUAGACAACUUGUUGACUAUGAUUUGUCUUGUAGCUUACUCGCUUAUGUUAUUUUACCUACGCUUAGGAUGUUGAUCUGUAGUGCGUGCGC